CUUUUAUCCAAAGCAAGGGAUGAAAAAUUGAGCAAAAUAGAGAUGUUACUUGCUCAUGUUCUUUCGAAUGCUUCAAUUUCCAUUCCACCGGAUCUAGCCAAUGGGCUAGAUAACAUUCAACAAUCUCCUAGUCAUCACCAAUCAAAGUAAAGAAAAGAAACCUGGAGGAGCUGAGUUGCUGUCAAGAUCACUUGUAGGAAAUAAACAUGGGGAAUAAAACACAAACUCUGAGUGAACUUUGGUCUGUGUAUAGAUUCUGCUUCAUGUUUAAUUGUAGUCUUCAAGGGCAAUGGAUGAGACCAUGUUGCUUGAUAUAUUUGUUAUGAUGUGAUCCUUUCCAGUUAUCUUUCAUGAUCACUUGUAGGUUUGCUGUGGAUUGUUGAAUUUAGUGCGUGUGAGCAUGCCAAUUGAAUGCAUCGAAUCU